CCUUGCCCUGCUCUACCCGCUCAGCCCAACACAGAAAUCAAACACACAAACUCUGAUGCUUUGGCUCACGGCAGCCAUCAAGCUCAUGCUUUAGUGACACAGAGAACUCCAUCUCCAGCUACUCUGUGUCUCGCUAAGCACAAGCUCGGCUGGGAGCUGUCGCUCAGCCUGUCACCACAAGCAGAAAAGAAGCGCACAUAAGCAGAUGCUCUUAUCCACACGUGCAAGUCGGGGGCGAGAAUAAAAGGCUCCUUGGGCCAUGGGCAAAGCAGGGAGCAGAUAGGCAGGAAAACAGGAAGGAGUUGAAGUCCAGCUCUCCAGCACCAAAGACAGGGAGAGCUGAGUCAGCACCAUGGGAGGACUUACGACACAGCUUGAGAGCUUACAGAGACCUGAGAUUGCCAAAGGAGGCCACCAGGGGAACUCUCAUCAUUCUUUUGCAGGGCUCUCACGGAUGCUUCCCAUGCUGACUUCCCCUGCCUAUGUCAUUUGUAGAAAGCCCAGGUGACAAACGCUCAUUUUGUCUGGGUAACGCUUGUAUGCUUCCACGGUUAUCACUGAAACAAAAGAAAAAAAAAAAAAGCAUGCAACCCUAUGAAAUUUGCCUCUCUACUGCUGCUGUCAGCGUGACAUCUGCACCUGACUGAAGUUUCAUCCAAGUCUGUCUUCCACACAGCUCCAUCCCAGUGCCAAAAAGAAACACGUACAGAGAUGCUUAGAAGAUUCUUUGUGCAGAUACAAGUGCAGGGUGCAUGUGUAUUCCCUACAGCAAGAAACAUUAAUUUCUCAAGCAGUAGUAGGAAAGGUCAAUGACAAGGAAAUAGAUGAUGAACCCCUUUCAUGGAAGAAGUCCUUGCUAAGCCUCUCCCCAUCAAAAAGGAAGCCUCCGGGCAUUGUUAGCAGCAGUGCCCAGAACAUCUUGCACCACAAAAUGCAGCACACUCCCUUUUUUCCACAGGCCCUCAUUUCUCUAAUUGGCAUCAGAUUCACUCCAGUUCAAAUACACGGAUCAGAACAGCCCUUCGGUUUGGCUGAGGUAGGAACCCACUGCUGGGAUGUCCCCCAGUCCCGUUCCCCACUAUGUCCAGCACUGGUGGGGAAAGGAAGAGCAACGGACAUCACCUACCCAGGCAUCUGCAGGGCUUUCCAUACGGUCUCACAUCGCAGGUAGAAGCGGGAGAGCUCUUGUGGCACAAAGAGUGCACUUUGGCCGCAAUAACCCCAGGCAACGCUACAGGCUUGGGGCAGAUGCUGAGUACGGGGAGAUGAUCACUUCCCUGCUCCGGCUGGCUCCAGCCCUUGGCAUUGCACUUCCAGUCUAAACCAUUCCUUCUGCGCUACUGCUUGGAUCCUCACUUAGGGCUGGAGCUCAAGAGGUCAACCCAACAGAAAUAACACAACGUGCAACUCGAAGACAUGUCUCAAAGCCCACAAGAGUCAAGUCUCUCACCCUGGGCACAGCUCACCAACCAAGAGCCAGGCCUUGCCAACUUGGCGGAUCUGAGAACACGGGGCGGGGCCGCACAUCACACCAGGAGCGUCCAUUUCAAUUGCGGCUCCGUGUAGAGAAGAACACCAACUAGCAGGCCUGAAUUCAUUCAUUCACAACUGAACACAGAGUUUGUUCUUCACUAAAAAACACACAGAGAUUCCUAAUCCAAAAAGAGAACGGCAGGACAUCAUAUCGGCCAAAGAGGUUCCUGUCCCUACGCCUCUUCCUCUUACCCCAACUUCCCUCCCCUCAUCCCCUACCCCUAUUCCUCCGUGAUGCCCACAGGCUUCAAGUCAGCUCUCAAAGCCAUAGGACUCCUUGCACACGACUCCAGCACAAAGGAUGGCACACUUGUUCCAUACACUCAAACGGACCAAGCAAUGGCAUCACACUCACAUAAAACACACACACAGAAGCAGCCAAACCCUGAGCACGCACAUCCCCUCCUGCACUACUGGAGCCCACCGCUCACCUUCACACCUCCGUGCAUUUCUGCUGUUUUACACUGAUGCAGCCUCGCUACAGCUCCAUGCGUGUCACACAAGGCCUGCAGGACGGACCUCUUGCUCUGCAAACCCCAUCUGCAGGCAUUGCUUCAUGAGCUUCACCACCUGCCCUCCUGAGCAAAAACAACCACUGAGAACGACAGCAAAGCACACUGGAUUCCACCUGGCCUGCUCCCCAAGCCUCAGUCCUGCCACACAUACCCUGCUACGCAGACUCAUCCCCAAAGCCUGGAUGGACAUCAGCACGGGCAUCAUUCCUCAAACGCCCCAGCCCAGCAGCAGGGGAUCAAAGCAUUGCGACAGCUGAAACCAAAAUGCUCUGGGACAUUCCUGCUAGCACCGAACACCAACAAAUCUACCACUGAGCAACAGGACGUGGGACAAACAGCAGAAAACAACCAACCUGCAGAACUAACUCCUGUCGCGUUGGUCCAGAUGUUUGUAUGAUCCCUUCCACGGCCCAGGCCAAGCUUGCUGAGAUGCUCCUCCUUUGUGCAGGGGGACAACGGUGCCCAUGGCAUGUGGUGGCUAUGCAUAGCAUGUCUUUUACUUGCUUUUCCUCCCUUCAUCUUCCAUUACCAAACAGCAACUCCAAUCUCUCCCGGCUAAAAAAUCACUUGGGUAAAAAAAGAACUGGCAACCUUGCUUUUAGAAUUACAACUUGAUGCUUUCAAGCAGAAGCUCACCUAGCAAGGACACCUACCUUAGACAAGCUCAACCAACACGGAAUAGUUAUUCCUCUGCGUCUGCAGACUUGGCACGCAUUUUCAGUUGCAAUAGUCAGCCCAGUUCUCAGCACAGCUUUACCAGCCACAGAAAGCCAGUUCAUUGCCACCAUCUUUUUCUCUCUUCUGAAACACUCUACUGCUGCAAGAAGCAACGAUUACAAUCACAGAAACACAGAACUGUAGGGGCUGGAAGGGACAUCUAGAGAUCAUUGAGUCCAACCCCUCCCCCCUCUGCAAAACAGGCUCCAUACAGCAGGCUGUACUGUAGGCAUCCAGCUGGGUUUGGAGGAUCUCCAGAGAAGGACAAUCCACAGCCUCCCUGGGCAGCCUGACUAUAUACCCCCCCGCCCAUAACCUCCCCACAGCCACCUAUAGCCCCAAAUCCUCCGAUGGCUCACCACAGCCCCAGAUCCCCCCUAGAGUACCCCUCAGCUCCUUAUAGACCCAUACGCCUUAACAGUCCCUGCACAGCCCCCUACAGCAGCCCUAUAUCCCCCUAUAGCCUCCCCGCACCUCCCAGUAGCCACAGGCCCACCUUCGCUUCGGUUCUGGGGGGCUGCAAUGGGUCUGGGGGCACCGGGAGCAGCGCUGGAAGGGUUGGUGGGGGGGGGGCACGGUUCAGAUGCUGGCAGCAGCGCUGUGGCGCUGGGGGACCCGAGCCUGUCCCAAACCCACGGCCCAUCCCACAUCCCUCAUCCCAAUCCCAAUCCCACAGCCCCACCCCACGGGGGUUCCACGGGGGAGGGGAGGGCAGUGUCCUUGGGGGGACCGCGCAGGGCCCCUCUCGCUCUCUCGCUCC
ensembl:lncRNA